GACGAACCGUGCGAACGUUGUUCGGAAUCACUGGGCUUAAAGGGCGCGUAGGCGGGCUGCCAAGUUUGGGGUGAAAUCCUCCGGCUCAACCGGGGAAGGGCCUCGAAUACUGGCGGUCUGGAGGGAGGUAGGGGCGUGCGGAACUGUAGGUGGAGCGGUGAAAUGCGUUGAUAUCUACAGGAACUCCGGUGGCGAAGGCGGCACGCUGGACCUUUUCUGACGCUGAGGCGCGAAAGCCAGGGGAGCGAACGGAGU
rnacentral:rRNA from 1 species